rnacentral:tRNA from 1 species
GGGAAAGUAGCCAAGUGGUCGAGGCGACACUGACCGCAACAGGUCAGGUUCAGCGCAAAGCUGACAUCGCAGGUUCAAAUCCUGCCUUUCCCG